AAAUUUGAAUCUUCUCAGUUAAAAGCUAAUACCCACCACUGAAGAGAUAUGCCUGAUUUUGGUUUCAAUGUCAACCAAAUUGCCUAAAUAUUUGCAUAGACAUUAAUAGCCAAAGGCAGGACACCAAUUUAAUUCUGGGUAGAACUAGUCAGUUCCUUUAGUAACACUGCAUUGUGACUAAGUCCAAGUGUUUUGUUUUCUUUUGUUUUUCAAAUUAAAGCCAACUUGUGAUGGUUUAGUGUAAUUGUAGCUACUGAUUUCCAUUGUGUUUUAUAAUCACAAGGCAAUAUCUGUGUCACAGAAUAGUAUUGCCUUGAAACUAUUUUUUUCCCAAUUUUACCUUUCCCAUCUUUUGUCUAAGCCUCAAGUAAUGACCAGUUUUGUUUGUAGUUACAGUGGAAUAACUCCUAAAUUAAACUGUUUCCUACUUUUUUCAGCCUUCUCAAAUCUAAAAAGCACAUGACUCAGCCUCCAUCUAAAUUGGCCCCAGGGAAUGAAUGCUAUUUUAACAGUGAGAGGAACCUAGACUUCCCAGAGAGGAGAUGCAGAGAUAAACAUGUAGCACAAAGGUGAAGGCUGACAAAAGGGAAUCCAGAUGCUGGAGAAGUGAGUGAACAUACAGAAGAAACCUCAAGAAGCAGAUCCAAGGGAGAGGGGCGAGCUGGCUACUUUAUGCCAAGGGGUGGGAUUUCUAGUAUUACAUAUUCUUGGAAGUACUGAGACAGAAUAUUUAUGGCACCAGAGAAGAAGAGAGAGAGAAAAGAAUAAAUCAGAAUCUGACCUACAUUACUUGUUUGUUUCAGUAUUCAUUGAAUGAAAGGAAGCUGCUGGAAAUAAAGACAGAAAUGGUGGCAUUGCAUGCCCAGCAAGAUCGUGGUGUCACCCAGACUGACAGGAAGAUAGACACGGAGGUCGCUGGCCUUAAAACUAUUGCUCGAGUCACACAAGCUUGACAAGAUUAAAUAUGUAGCAGGGUCUGUGUUUACAUGCCUAACAGUAGCUCUGGGAUUUUAUCGCCUAAGGAUGUAAUAAACUCUCUAUUUAAAGAGCUCUCUUAAUUGUUUUGCCUUAAAAAUACCAGGUUGUAGUGCUUUUUGUUUUUCUCAUUUCAAAUUUUAAUGCUGAUUUUGAUUUAAUUUACAUUAUUUAUUUUAUGCAAUUUAUGGACAUAUAACCAAGGCAAAGAAGUCAGGAAUUUCAUAAUUGCCCCUUUCACCUCUUCUAUUUAAUUGACUUCAUAACACUGAGUGGUUUUGGACAAAGCAUUGAAGACUCCACGCAGCUGGACCAGUGAGCUUGGUCUAACCUGUGGGAUAUACCAGCAGUAAAUAUUGUAUAACUCUCUUUAAUUUUAAAUCUUUUGUCACAUGGAGAAUUUGGGGUCUCCACUUAAAGGCACAAUGGCUUUACUAAGUGCCAAAGAAUCAUCGAAACUAAACCAAGAGCAGCAAUUCCUCCUCACCUAACGGCCCAUCCCUGAGGGCAGCCAGUCUCUGUCUGAAGAGGAUCGUGUUUAGUGGUUGGUAUGUUAAUGAUACAGCUGUACUGUACACUGAUAGGAGUAUUUUUCUUUAAAUUUCUACUGUCUUAGUAAAUUAUUGUUACAGCUAUUUUUUACGUGUCUUCCAGUAGAAAAUCUUGUUGCUUAAUCAAGUGUUGUAAUUGUAAUGGGAACUCUCUUUACCUCUUAGAGGGCUAGGCUUCUCUCUCCCUCCCUGUCACUGGUCCUUCUCCUCUGCCUCUGAACUUGAGCGCUAUAAUGAUCCUCCACUUGUGGCAUUGCCUGCCUAGAGAGUCUCGGCAUGGAUGCCUACUUCAGUUUGUGGGACAGCCUCUACUUCCCUGCUGGUCUUCACUUGCUUCUUAUACAGGGGCCGGCACUCCAUCCCUGUGUAGCAGUGUGUGGAUAGUUAAUGUGCACGCUUCUUAGAAAUGUCUUUAAUCAAUACGCUCUUGCCCACUACAUACUCAGAUCAUAGGCUUUCAAAAUUAAAGAACUGUCAUGCCAGGUAUCAUCCUAGUGUAGGUCGAUUUCUUUGGUGGUUCAAGACAUCUGCAUACCUGCCUGCCUUCUAUAUCUAAUACAAAUUCCUAGAUGCACCUGGGGUUCUUUUGGAGCAGUGCCAUCUUAUUUAACAACUGGCACCUGGGAGAGAGUAAGCAUUUGGAAUCGAUGGCAUUAAUAGCAGCUUUUCUGCCUUUCUCCACAUGGAUGCAUGUGCCUAUCAUCUGUGUGGUGGAGAAACCACAUAGAGACUUCUGACCAAUCUGGUGGGAUAAAUUACCCAUCAUCACGGUUCCAACCACAUAAAAAGCUACCUCUUAUCCUUUGGAUGUCCCUUCUAAGCUUUGGCAAGUGUAAGUUGGUGCCUUUUCUUAAAACAUUUGUGUAGCACAAAAAAUUCUGAACUUAAAAUGUAUGGAAAUCAAGGGCCUAGAGUGUAGCUACUCCGAACUAAUACCCAAGCACAGAAAGUAGUGAAUGCAAUCAUGUUUCAAAGAAAACACUAACUUGUAUAGUUUAAAAAGAGAGUGAAGUGACCUUCUGUCCUGAUAAAAUAUUUUUUAAAUAACAUUGAGUGGGGUGACAUUCUUUCAUCUGCCAAAAGUAUUCCAAAUGGCAUUCCUGGUGGUGACAGUGGGCUGCAUCAGUCUGUACUUAAUUUGGGCCAUUGGUUUUGUUGAAACGUUCCUUGCAGUACAGAACAGCCUUCCUCCCCACCCACCUGGGGAACAAUGAGCACUCCUCUCAGUGUUGUGGAUUGCGUGCAUACAGGGACAUUAUGAGGGCCCAGGACUGUGUUCCAUUUAUUUAGUUAAAUGUACUGUAUUUGAAAAGCAUAUGAGCCAGAAAUACCAGUGCACCCUUCCCCCUGCUGGCCCAUAAGUCUGAACUGUGCACAGUAAGCAUGCUAUAUAUUGGGACACAGUGUGACAACUUCCUGAGCUAGUCUAGCUUAGAAGGAUUCAGAUCACUUUAGGAAAUUGGGAUCAGCCCUCAGAAGCGGGAAGAUGCAUGGCAAGACUUAGAUGACCUGUGUCUACCACGUUGCAAAAAUAACCAUAGCUGCAUGUUGAAAGCCCACCCCUCUAGGCACAGCUUCCUUGGGCACAGAGACCUAAAGCACAACAUCAAGUGGACAGAAUCUUUGCAUUUCCUUUCCCUGCCCUGAUCACUCUGUGAGGAGUCCUCUGCUUUCCCACUCUUCUACCCCCCACCCCACCCCAUCCCUUUUCCCCUUCCCCUGCCUUUUAUCCUUUUUAAAGAGCCAGAACUCUCCAUUA